UUUUUUUUUUUUAAAUAUAUAUUCCACAUUCACCCUUUUGGUUUGAAAGUCAUUGAAUAACUAUAACCUCCAAAAGUUCUUCUAUAUUACAUUAUCACCAAAGCAUGAUGCCCACUAAAGAGUUGGACAAUACUGUUAUGAUCUUGUAAAACAAUACCACAAUAAUUAGGCUGGAUACAGAGAACAAACUAACUCCAGAUUUCUAUGCAUAGGAGGGCGAAAUAAAGGUGGAACCUGGGUGUAUAUUAGCAGUAAAGAGCAAGGACUCUGAGCUAUGACCCAUUGUCAAUGGAUUAAAACAGAGGAGGAUUGGACACACUCAUUACUUAUGUAGCCUUGGCAUAAAUGCAAAGAAGCUUACACUCCAAAUCACAUUUUGUUGUGACUGACAAAGCAAUUCUCCCACCUUUAGUGGGCACUCUGAAAUGUCCUUCAAAAAACAAAAAAGCUAAUAGAAAUUGACAGAAUGUUUCUAAUCUACUGCUAAAUUGCUAGAACAUUUUACACCUGAGUUUACAAUAGAAACACAUUCUAUUUUACCCUGUUUAAAAGUCGCAAAGAUUUGGAGAGAUGUUAGGAGUUUGAAUGCAUGACUUUCAUAAUACAGCCCGAGCCAUGCUGAGAGCUAGGUUACAGCAAGAUCACAAUUUAGCCACUGGAUUAUCACCUCAUUAGCAUCAAUGUAGCACAAAAUCGUGUGAUGGCAGACAAAUCAGUUUGAUAAACAAAAAUGAAAUUCCAAGAAAAUCCAUAGAAUCAGAUAUUUUGGAGAUAAAGGAACAGUCUUGUGGCUGUAAAAUGGCAUCAUUUUUUAGUAAAAGUGUUUUAAGAGCUUUUCCUUUGAUAAAUAUAGUGCUUUUUAAUGAUAGGAUUCCAGGAAGCUGCCAUGAUUGGCAAAAUAAUACUUAUCCUUGCAAUUUAAGAACGUAUACAUAAAAACAGCUAACGUCUAUGUGCCUCUUUUAAUUAGGUAGUAGGCAGCAUCUUUCAAUGAACCACAUUUAGUAAACAAAAACAAGAUGUAUGGAUACACACUUGAGUAUGUCCACUCCAACCUGCAAACACUGCAUUAUAGAAGAAAUCCAACAACAGGUCAUCUGCUGUGCCAUAACCUAUGAGUAUCACGAAAGGUUCUUGCAGCAGCAAGGAUUCAAUAACUUUGGGAUGUCGUACACAAUUAAGCAACAGAGCUGCAACAAUUCCU